rnacentral:misc_RNA from 1 species
UGGUUCUGGCAUNGAUGAAGAACGCAGCGAAAUGCGAUAAGUAAUGUGAAUUGCAGAAUUCAGUGAAUCAUCGAAUUUUUGAACGCAUAUUGCACCUUAGAGUAUUCUUUAAGGUAUACCUGUUCGAGCGUCGUUUAUAAACUUGAAGCAAAUUUCUUUUUGCAUCGUGUUGAAUUUUGGUUACUUUCAAAAAAGUUUCCCAAUCUUCUAAACUUAUUGGCACUUUUUAAUACUUUCGUUGGCCAAAUUUACAUGUGAAAAUGUAAAUUAUAACCUAUACAAAUUUUUCUUCUCAGAAAAAUUUAAAAGAAAGUUAAUGGUUUGCCGAAAUAAACCUUCAAAACAUUUCGACCUCGAAUCAAGUAAGACUACCCGCUGA